GUAAAAGGAAGGAGGUGCGGGCCUCUCUGUCUCUGGAAAUUCAGAGAAAAGGAAGGCGGAGUCGUGUGAGAUCCUUCUCGCUAUAAUCGCUGCAGAAUAUGAUGGAAAACUGUGGGAAAAGUGUUAUGGGAAUCGGUGUCCCUCAUAAAGUGUGCCAUUGAAAAGCCUGAUUAUAUUCAAAUUACUUUUCACAGCCUGAGCCGGUCGACGGGGUCGUCCGGCAACUUCGGCUGGAAGAUCAGGCGACAAGAUGACCUGUUCCGUGACCGUGAUUAUCAGGUUAUCUCUCUUUCUUGCUCUCUCUCUCUCUCUCUCUCCUUUCUCUCUGCUGUGGGCCUGUGCCCGUGGGUACUGGGUAGGCUGUAGCAUGUAGCUGGUAGACGGUAGCCGACCAGAUGUUUCCAGCGAGCAGCCUUUCGUUGCCUCGGGUCCUUUUGAGGAUUUCUUCAGCGACCUUGCCGGGAAUCUAUGCCGAUGCCAUGGUUCCUAACUUCCUUGACUAUGCCAUGUUGGUUUCCUUUUUCAGCAUUCAUGAUUCAGGUUUCCGAAGAUCACGUAGGAUAUUGAUGGAGGUUCAUCAUCAGUUGAUUUGCCAAGCAUAUAUAACAUAGUAAUGCCUGUCAGUAGUUACCUUUCAUUCAGUGAUGCACCGUCCCACUGAGUAGAGUAUGAUUUUAAUUACUUUUAUUUUUCUGCUUUACCUUUAUGUAUACAUGACUAAUAAUUUCGCCCGUAUAACAAAGAGGCCAUCACAUUCAUUUUCUCAACUUUGUCGUUCGUUAGACAAUGGCAGGUAUGCAAUGAAGAUUUUGAUCCAUUCAGGGGAGGAACUAGAGUUGGUGAGGCAAAAACUACGUGUUUCAUCCCUUUUGAGUCAUCCCAACCUACUUCCUCUUCUUGCCCAUGCUAGCAUCGCAGUGAAGGUUGCUUGACUGAAUAUCUAUGACAGCAGCGUUGCAUCUAAGUGGUCAGCAUGUCAAUCGUGAGUUAUGGUUUAAUCGUCAUAAGUCAUGCUGUUCCGGUUAGUAGUGGAUAUCUGUUUUCAUUAGUUUUAGGUUUCUGGAGAUAGGAACUGGAACUACUAAUGGUGCACUGGUUGAAUGGUUGAAGGUGCUCUCUCUCUCUCUCUCUCUCUCUCUCUCUCUUGUGAUACACGUUCAUGUGAUUAACCUAGCAAAAAAUCAGUUUUGUUGUUUUUAAUUAUGGGAUUUUUUUUCUUCACAUUGUUCUCUUACCAAAGUUUUGAUUAGCCUUAUGAACUUUAUGUUUGGAAGAAUGCUUCAUUAACAGAAGGGGCACUUGAGCAUGUUCGAUUCCAAGAUUUCAGAAAUAGGUGGCUGAGUUUGGCUAGGUAGAUGUACUUAUUUCUCUCCUUGCUAAAUAAUGAACAUUCCUUUUCUGCUAAAUGUUUAAGUUUGAGUUGGCAAUAGGAAACUUGAGCAUGUUUGAUUCCAACAUUUGAGAAAUAGGUAGCUGAGUUUGGCUAGGUAGAGGUACUUAUUUCUCUCCUUGCUAAAUAGUGAACAUUCAUUUUCUGCUAAAUGUUUAAGUUUGAGUUGGCAAUAGACAGUGGUUUCGCAUAUUCAAACUUGAAUUUGGGGACUGUCUAAUCAAUCUAUUUGUUGAAGCUUGAAAUUUUGAAGCACCUUAAAUUGAUUGAAAAGUCAUUAACCACUGGCUGGUUGACAAUAGACAUUUUGCAUUGCCCACAUUCUUUUCAAUGGUGUUGCGGACCAUCAUCAUGCAAUAGUUGGUCAGCCGGAGAUUGUUCGCACAACGUAGAAGGUGGCUUGGUGUUGAUGUCAGGAAUUUGAUUGCAUCUAUCACUCUCUUCUUUUGGUUGAUGAUGUGUCUCGUUCAAAUUUAGACACUCCUAUAGU